rnacentral:tRNA from 1 species
UAGCUCAGUCGGAUAGAGCGUCGGUCUACGAAACCGAAGGUCGCAGGUUCGAAUCCUG